AUUGAACGCUGGCGGCAGGCCUAACACAUGCAAGUCGAACGAGUGGCGGACGGGUGAGUAAUGUCUGGGAAACUGCCUGAUGGAGGGGGAUAACUACUGGAAACGGUAGCUAAUACCGCAUACCAUCGGAUGUGCCCAGAUGGGAUUAGCUAGUAGGUGGGGGAAAGGGUCACCUAGGCGACGAUCCCUAGCUGGUCUGAGAUGAUGACCAUGCACACUGGAACUGAGACCCGUUCCAGACUCAUACGGGAGUCAGCAGUGGGGAAUAUUUCACAUGGGGCACAGGCCUAAUGCAGCCAUGCCGAGUGUAUGAAGAGGGCCUUCGGGUUGUAAAGUACUUUCAGCGGGGAGGCAUUUCCCGCAGGAGUAGCACCGGCUAACUCCGGGCCAGCCGCCGCGGUAAUAC
rnacentral:rRNA from 1 species